AUACGUAGGGUGCAAGCGUUAAUCGGAAUUACUGGGCGUAAAGCGUGCGCAGGCGGUUUUGUAAGACAGAGGUGAAAUCCCCGGGCUCAACCUGGGAACUGCCUUUGUGACUGCAAGGCUAGAGUACGGCAGAGGGGGAUGGAAUUCCGCGUGUAGCAGUGAAAUGCGUAGAUAUGCGGAGGAACACCGAUGGCGAAGGCAAUUCCCUGGGCCUGUUCGGACGCUCAUGCACGAAAGCGGGGGGAGCAAACAGGAUUAGAUACCCUGGUAGUCCACGCCCUAAACGAUGUCAACUGGGUGUUGGGGAUUUAUUUUCUCAUUAACGAAGCUAACGCGUGAAGUUGACCGCCUGGGGAGUACGGCCGCAAGGUUAAAACUCAAAUGAAUUGACGGGG
rnacentral:rRNA from 1 species